rnacentral:lncRNA from 9 species
AUGUCACAGAUGCCUGGAUUCCCGUCCCUCCUCUGUCACGUUGUGGGCUGGGGUCAAGGCCAAGCUGCUGUGGGGGGGGCCCGAAUUCACAGAGGCUGUCAGGGGACAGGGAUCGGGCCCACUGCCCGCCACUUCCCAGGACUGCAUGCGUGGUGGACACCGGAGGAGGGGGUGUCACUGAGCACAUGCCUCUGGGUGGGGGGGGGAGAGCAGACGCAGAAAGGGGGCACCGCCAGGACCAACCCCACCCCCCACGCUCAGCUUGAAGCCAGGGGCGCAGGCGGGCGCUGCGAGGACACCCAGACAGCGCCCUGCGUCCUGUGCUAUGAGGUCCAGGAGGAGCCAACCCACCCAAUGGGGCUGGGGGGGAGAACCACCCAGUGGUUCUAGCCGGGUGAGGGGGGGCGGGGGUCUCAAUUCAGUGAUGGAACACUCUGGACAAUGCAGGGGUGCCGGCUGUCCACUCUGAAUUCACUAAAGGCCACACGAGAGGCGUGGUCUCUUGUGACUCCUGUCCAGGGAAUUUGAGUGACCUUCAGCCCAUAGGACAGCAGCGUCCAACCACAUCCUGGACCGGGGCAGGACAUGGUUCCCAGCAGCGGCGAGGAUAUGCCUCAACAUGAACGGGGACAGCAGCCCACCCCCUGAUGGCAAGAAGGCCGGAGAGACCGCGACCCCCAUAGAACUGGAUUCAAACUCAGUUCCACUACUUCUGACUCCGACUCCAGGCAAGGUGCUCGCCCUCUCUGAGCCUCACACCUUUCGUCUGUAAAAUGCAAAUAAAAGCAAAAGAACGACAAGUGUUCAAAACGCAAAAGCCCACCCCACUGCUGCCUCAGUGUCACGGUGGGUCUUGUGCUUCCAGCACCUGCAGGAGGCUUGGCUGGUCAAGUGCUCCAAGCCGCUCCUCUGUAAAGGGGCCUUUUUCCUGAAUCUACACAGAAAUGCACCGCCAGGGUCCUUACAUGGGAACAACAGUGACAGUAACGAGGCAUCGUCUUCAGCCUGAGUUUCAUAAAAAUUAGCGCAGUUCGUUGAAUCUGGAGUCCCCUGAUUUACAAAGAGGCACUUGAUUUACAUGCACGGCCCUGCUGCCUGAAACGAAGUUUGCCUGUAUCCGUCGCAUUUCCCCAGUCCUCGAUGAGGGGCAGCAAACAGGGGGUCUGCCCUCCAGGCCUCGGAGGGGAGCUGGGUUCCUCUGCGAGCACGAGGAGCAGGGGAGGGAGAGGCGACGGGGUGGAAGAGAAAUCCUGCGCCCCCCAAGGCCAGCCGUCUGGGGCGCACGUGGGCAGCGGCUGUAAACCCUCUUUGGUUAAAUCCCUGAGCGAGGUUACCUCUUCUUGGCCGCACUGACCCACCUCCGUGCCUUUGGGGCCAGCGAGUCGUGGCUCCGGGCCCUCUGAAGGCAGGGAUCUGGCAAUGCCCACCUGCCUCUUUCGACCAAAAGCGAAGAAGAGGCUCCAUUUCCGGGAGACAUACGAUGGCGCACUGCCGGCCCCUAACAGCCCAGAGGAGGAGAGGCCUCGGCACUCCCAGCGGCCCGGGCCCUCCCUGCGCUGCCGUCCUCACUGCCUGCCCCCAGCACCGUCCUGGCAAAGUCCGACCACGCUUCCCACUCACCCUGGGCAGUUAACAGGAGGCUGGGCCUCCCGAGGAAGACCAGCAGCUCCUGAGGAAUCUCCACGUGGCCGUGCAGGCAGAUGGCAACCUUGGGCUUCCCGAGCUGCAGGGGUGGAGGGGGUCUGACCUUGGGCCUUACGAGCUGCGGGUGGGGGAGCGACGAAACACCAGAGCAUCCCCCUGGAGGGAAGUGUGGGGACACGGGGCUGCCUGAGAAUGGAGGGGGCGACGCCAGCCUGUGCCAUGAAGUUGCCUCCACAUUUAAGGCCCAAGACUCUCCUGACGGAUUCCGGGGAGACAGGCCGGCCUGGGGGAUCACAGGCUCUCCUGCCCCGAGGGGCCUCAGGGUAUGGGGCCAGGCUGGGUGUGAGCAUGGGUGAGGGCCAUUCUCAGCCCACAUCUGCCUGCCUGGCUCCAGGAGGCCCAGCUCGAGGUCCCGGCGCCCUGAGCCCAUGCACCGUGCAGCAGAGGUGGGUGGCCUCCCACCGUGGAGUCUAAGAGCUUGACCAAAUCCAUCUGCGGUACCUGGAAUGCAUGUUACAGAUGCAACGGCCUAAGGGUCUAUUCUUGGCUCCCAAACAGAAAUUUCAACAGGAAUGUGACUGUUCUCCGUUAAACACCAAAUAAAGAAUUGUUCUACAAGCAGGCCAUCUGUGAGGCCCAGCGGUGCCAGGGAGACCCUCCACGCCCCCCCAAGGGGCUGUCACCACACACAACACCUCCCACACACUAAGGGGCUGUCCCCACAGGAGACACGCGGACGUGGAGUUCACUGGGAGAGACCAGGCCUGCGAAACACUGCCUGACACCCCUGCGUUCGGACCCCACAACGGCCUCUUCAGAGGGGAAAUCACCGUCCAUGCUGAGGAAAGUGCCCCCUCCUCGGAGAUUUGGCCAGCGUGCCCGUGGCAAGUCCCCUCCCGCCACGCUGUCAGCUCCCGCACACCCAUCAGGGAGCCUCUUCACUUCAGCCAAGUGUCCUGUGGGUACAGAGUCAAGCCCCAAAGUCACGCGCUAAGUUCUCAGACCUUUUCUGGUGAGGAGCCAAGUAAGCUCCCCCCAAAAAAGAAGGAGGCUCCAGCUCUGCUGGCGCCAUCAGCGACACUUGACGGCACGUCUGUACGUGGUGCACAGAAGUGGGAACCGGGGCCCAGGCGGGGGCAGAGCGUGGCCCCCGCUCCCAGGACCCUGAGAGGACGACCUCCAGCACCCCCGACAGGCUCUGUGCUCACGCAGCGCCUUCCCAGAGAAGGCCGGGUUGCCGCCGGCUCCUCGCGUGAAACUCCAUGAGCUGCCUCCGUCUUCAGGGACAGUCCGCCGCUUAAGACAGACCUCGGCAUAGUUUCCUAAGUAAUAAACUAAGUUAUGUGACUUUUCAAAGACCCUGACAGCCACUGCCAAUAAAAGGAAUCCAGUAAUCCAGCCCAACAAGCAGCCCCAAUUACCUCUGAAACCAGGCCUCUCUGGCCUGACACGCCCGCUCCCGCCGCACCUGCACGCGCCCAGCAGAGGCAGCCCCAGAAGGCACCUCAUCACAUGCACAAAGCCUGGUCCUCGUGGAGCGGCUGGUCUCAGUGCUGUCCCCUGUCACCUGCUCACCUCCCUUCCUGAGUAUGAAAGGUCCUCUUUGCACCAGGGCUGCCCCCCAGGGGCCUCGCCACCAGCUGCUAUUCCUACACUCAUGAUAACAGUAACACACGCUCACUGGAAAGGGUGAGGCAGGUGCAGAAAUGUAUGAAUAGAGGAAAAAUGGAGUGUCCCCUCCCCUUGCACAGGCAACCGCUGCCCACGUGGGCCCCAGGCAGGUGACGGCCCACGAGGCCCCGCACACAGAUGGGCUCCGGCAGCUGUCGCUCUUCAGACACAUCCAAGAGGGUCUGCGGCCCCAACCUCCAGCACCAGAAGAGAAGCCUGGGGGGGCGCUGGAGGUUGGAGAGGCCUGACCUGACGAGGCCGGGAUACAGAAGCUGGAGGUGGGGUGGUGGUUGGGAGGAAGGCCAGGGCAGCGGGCAGCAAAUGGCAGCACUAAGCUGCCCCCUGUGCCAGGCGCACGCGUUGCAGUGGGCGCACGCGUUCCCUGCAGACGCGCCCUCCUGUUUCUAUCCAGGCAGAACAGUCGGGUCUUGGUCACAGCUUUGAUAGCUGAGCCGCCUUUGUAGGGGUGCCCGUUGCACACAGGCUGUGUCCUGGGCUGGGGCCCCUCGGGCUCUGAAGCAACUGAUGGUUUUUGUUGUUGUUGUUGUUUUGUUUUGUUUUUUAAGGGCCUUGCCUGUGGCAUGUGGAAGUUCCCAGGUUAGGGGUUGAAUCAGUUACAACUGCCAGCCUACACCACAGCCACAGCAAUGCAGGACCCAAGCCCCGUCCGCAACCUACACGAUGGCUCACAGCAACGCUGUAUCCUUUAACCCACUAAGGGAGGCCAGGGAUCAAAGCCGCAUCCUCAUGGAUACUAGUCAGGUUCUUAACCUGCUGAGCUACAACAGGAGCUCCCAACUGGUGUGUUUUCUUGCUUUCAUCCGCAAAACUCUGCCCUGGAGUCUUGGGAAGACGGAAUGGGUGACAGCCUGGGGCUUCCUGACCUGGAAAGCAGCACGGGACAGGUGCUCGAGCCCUCAGCAGGGCGUCCGAGCCAAGCUCUUGGAACGCCCCUCCUGUCAACACGGAUCUGCCUGGCUGCUCACCUGGGGCACUGAGAGCAGGGUGCCCCCCAGG